AGAGUUUGAUCCUGGCUCAGGAUGAACGCUAGCUACAGGCUUAACACAUGCAAGUCGAGGGGCAGCAUGUUGGUUGCUUGCAACCAAUGAUGGCGACCGGCGCACGGGUGAGUAACGCGUAUCCAACCUACCCAAUACUCAGGCAUAACCCGUUGAAAGACGGACUAAUUCCUGAUGGUAUGUAUUUCUCUCAUGAGUUAUACAUUAAAGAAUUUCGGUAUUGGAUGGGGAUGCGUCUGAUUAGUUAGUUGGUGAGGUAACGGCUCACCAAGACUUCGAUCAGUAGGGGUUCUGAGAGGAAGGUCCCCCACAUUGGAACUGAGACACGGUCCAAACUCCUACGGGAGGCAGCAGUGAGGAAUAUUGGUCAAUGGACGGAAGUCUGAACCAGCCAAGUAGCGUGCAGGAUGACGGCCCUAUGGGUUGUAAACUGCUUUUGUAUGGGGAUAAAGUUAGGGACGUGUCCCUAUUUGCAGGUACCAUACGAAUAAGGACCGGCUAAUUCCGUGCCAGCAGCCGCGGUAAUACGGAAGGUCCAGGCGUUAUCCGGAUUUAUUGGGUUUAAAGGGAGCGUAGGCCGCCUCUUAAGCGUGUUGUGAAAUGCGGGUGCUCAACAUCCGACUUGCAGCGCGAACUGGGGGGCUUGAGUGCGCCGAAAGUAGGCGGAAUUCGUGGUGUAGCGGUGAAAUGCUUAGAUAUCACGAAGAACUCCGAUUGCGAAGGCAGCUUACCGUAACGUUACUGACGCUUAAGCACGAAGGUGCGGGUAUCGAACAGGAUUAGAUACCCUGGUAGUCCGCACAGUAAACGAUGGAUGCUCGCUGUUGGCCUUUUGUGGUCAGUGGCUUAGCGAAAGCGUUAAGCAUCCCACCUGGGGAGUACGCCGGCAACGGUGAAACUCAAAGGAAUUGACGGGGGCCCG
rnacentral:rRNA from 1 species